AUUGAACGCUGGCGGCAGGCCUAACACAUGCAAGUCGAACGAGUGGCGGACGGGUGAGUAAUGUCUGGGAAACUGCCCGAUGGAGGGGGAUAACUACUGGAAACGGUCGCUAAUACCGCAUACCAUCGGAUGUGCCCAGAUGGGAUUAGAUAGUCGGUGGGGUAACGGCGCACCUAGGCGCCGAUCCCUAGCUGGUCUGAGAGGAUGACCAGCAACACUGGAACGGGGACCCGGUCCAACCUCCGACGGGAGGCAGCAGUGGGGAAUAUUGCACAAUGGGCGAAAGCCUGAUGCAGCCAUGCCGCGUGUAGGAAGAAGGCCUGCGGGUUGUAAAGUACUUUCAGCGAGGAGGCGUUACUCGCAGAAGAAGCACCGGCUAACUCCGUGCCAGCAGCCGCGGUAAUUC
rnacentral:rRNA from 1 species